UAAGUACAAACAGUGCAAUGCACCUCCAUCUCCAAGUCUGUUGCCCUGUGUAAGGGUAGGCUAGGCGAUAACAGAUGCAGUUGCUUUAAACUAGUUUUGGAUUACCCAAGAAAGGUAGCAGUCACAAUCUGGAAACAAAGAAGGAAUCACUUAACUAUUUCCAAGGAUCAGGACUUACCAAACACUCCAAAGGAAUGGGGAUCUCUGAUUAGAAGUGCUUCUCCUGAUGCUGCCAGCCCUGAAAUGAGAUUUUGGAGAGGUUGUAGUCAGCCCUGGGAGCACAGGUGGAAGCAAUACGUCUGUGUGAUCCUGGCUUCACCCCUUCACCAGGUGCUCAGGACCUAACAGUUCCCACACACCCUACUAUCCAUGUGCUAUGAAGACCACCUCACAAAUGCCACACGUUUUUUCGUUAGUAGUGAUUAGAUAGCAACAACCUUUCACAAGAAAGGAUAGAAAAGCUUCUUGUAUAUGGGAAUCAGGUGCCAAGUCCCUCAUUAAGUGUUUCUGUGUCUGCUGUCCUGGCUCUACUGCACACAGCUAUGCUGUUUGCCCAUGGGAAUGUGGCUUGGAGUGCCCUGCUGCUGAGUGGAGUCAUCUUUUGCAAAGAUCUCAACAGUGUUCAGUGGAAGUUUCUGUCCUUACUUAAAGGUUCAUAAGCAGAUUCAAAUUUCAAGGAAACCUUUAAACAACAAGAACUGAUUUGUUAAAUUUUAUCAUGCUGGUGGAAUUCUGGAGGAGAAAGCAAAUGUGUGGAGAAAAAAACUGGACUGGAGACAAAACAAGAGGGUCCUAAGUGAGAGAAGUAUAAAGAUAUCUCCUUUUGUAGUAUCACUGUGGAUGAGAAAUAAAAAAUGCACAGGAAUCCCAAUGCAGAUGAGGAGAGGCUUCUGUUUGGCUAUCCUAACCCACAGGUGACAUUGCACUGGAAAUAAAUACCAGGCUCUGGCUUGUCAGCAGGACUUUGGGGGAAGCUGGCUGAGGUUUGCUCAGGGAAGUCUGUCUCCCUAUAAGCUGAAGAAUCUGACAUGUUUGGGCUGUGAAUUAUACCAAGUGCCCAACCUGUGUGUGGUAAACAACACAUCUUUGACUGAUAGCAUGCACUGUGUGUUGUCUUGCUGGGAAAACAUCAGGCUUACUUAUUCCUACUGAAAUGUCCUUUUCACAGGACCUUCACUGAAGUGAGACUAAGUCCAGAUUUAAAUAAAUGUCAGCAGCUCCUUGAUAAGUGUCUCCUUACCAGUGCUACGAGUAUGAUCAGCCCUUGAUCAAGUGGAAAGAAUUAGGCAUGCUGGGGUGGUUU